rnacentral:rRNA from 1 species
UGGGGAAUAUUGGACAAUGGGCGCAAGCCUGAUCCAGCCAUGCCGCGUGAGUGAUGAAGGCCCUAGGGUUGUAAAGCUCUUUCACCGGUGAAGAUAAUGACGGUAACCGGAGAAGAAGCCCCGGCUAACUUCGUGCCAGCAGCCGCGGUAAUACGAAGGGGGCUAGCGUUGUUCGGAAUUACUGGGCGUAAAGGGAGCGUAGGCGGACAUUUAAGUCAGGGGUGAAAUCCCGGGGCUCAACCUCGGAAUUGCCUUUGAUACUGGGUGUCUUGAGUGUGAGAGAGGUAUGUGGAACUCCGAGUGUAGAGGUGAAAUUCGUAGAUAUUCGGAGGAACACCAGUGGCGAAGGCGGCUCACUGGUCCAUUACUGACGCUGAGGUGCGAAAGCGUGGGGAGCAAACA